CCUACGGGAGGCAGCAGUGAGGAAUAUUGGUCAAUGGACGAGAGUCUGAACCAGCCAAGUAGCGUGAAGGAUGACUGCCCUAUGGGUUGUAAACUUCUUUUAUAAAGGAAUAAAACGAGGCACGUGUGCCUUUUUGCAUGUACUUUAUGAAUAAGGAUCGGCUAACUCCGUGCCAGCAGCCGCGGUAAUACGGAGGCUCCGAGCGUUAUCCGGAUGUAUUGGGGUUAAAGGGAGCGUAGAUGGGUUGGUAAGUCAGUUGUGAAAGGUUGCGGCUCAACCGUAAAAUUGCAAUUGAUACUGGCAGACUAGAGUACAGUUGAGGUAAGCGGAAUUCGUGGUGUAGCGGUGAAAUGCUUAGAUAUCACGAAGAACCCCGAUUGCGAAGGCAGCUUACUAAACUGUGACUGACAUUGAUGCUCGAAAGUGUGGGUAUCAAACAGGAUUAGAUACCCCAGUAGUC
rnacentral:rRNA from 1 species